CAUGAUCGAAGACGAUUGCGCCGAGAGCGGCAUCCCUCUCCCCAACGUCACCGCCAAGAUCCUUGCCAAGGUCAUCGAGUACUGCCGCAAGCACGUCGAGUCCGCCGCCAAGCCCUCCACCACCGACGACAAGGCGAUCGAGGACGAGCUCAAGGCCUGGGACGCUGAUUUUGUCAAGGUUGACCAGCCGACGCUCUUCGAUCUCAUCCUGGCAGCAAACUAUCUCAACAUCAAAGGUUUGCUGGACCUGACCUGUCAGACUGUGGCUGACAUGAUCAAGGGUAAAACUCCAGAGGAGAUACGGAAGACGUUCAACAUAAAGAAUGACUUCACUCCAGAGGAAGAGGAAGAAGUGAGGAGGGAGAACCAGUGGGCCUUCGAGUGAAGAGGCCAUAUCUUUUUAAGGACAUAAAGUGUGGUUUGUUUAUUUAGCAGGCAUGGAACUGCAGAGG
rnacentral:misc_RNA from 1 species